UACGUAGGGGGGCAAGCGUUGUCCGGAUUUAUUGGGCGUAAAGCGCGCGCAGGCGGUCCUUUAAGUCUGAUGUGAAAGCCCACGGCUCAACCGUGGAGGGUUCAUUGGAAACUGGGGGACUUGAGUGCAGAAGAGGAAAGCGGAAUUCCACGUGUAGCGGUGAAAUGCGUAGAGAUGUGGAGGAACACCAGUGGCGAAGGCGGCUUUCUGGUCUGUAACUGACGCUGAGGCGCGAAAGCGUGGGGAGCAAACAGG
rnacentral:rRNA from 1 species